AUUGAACGCUGGCGGCAUGCCUUACACAUGCAAGUCGAACGGCAGCACGGGUGCUUGCACCUGGUGGCGAGUGGCGCACGGGUGUGUAAUACAUCGGAACAUGUCCUGUAGUGGGGGAUAGCCCGGCGAAAGCCGGAUUAAUACCGCAUACGAUCUACGGUUGAAAGCGGGGGACCUUCGGGCCUCGCGCUAUGGGGUUGGCCGAUGGCUGAUUAGCUAGUUGGUGGGGUAAAGGCCUACCAAGGCGACGACCAGUAGAUGGUCUGAGAGGGCGACCAGCCACACUGGGACUGAGACACGGCCCAGACUCCUACGGGAGGCAGCAGUGGGGAAUGUUGGACAAUGGGCGAAAGCCUGAUCCAGCAAUGCCGCGUGUGUGAAGAAGGCCUUCGGGUUGUAAAGCACUUUUGUCCGGAAAGAAAGCCUUGGCUCUAAUACAGUCGGGGGAUGACGGUACCGGAAGAAUAAGCACCGGCUAACUACGUG
rnacentral:rRNA from 1 species